AGACGCCGGCUCGGAGUCCCCCGGGCUGCCCGGAGGAGACGCGUCCCGUGAGGGAGCCGGUGCGCGGCAGGCGGGGGGCUGGCGGGUGCCCCCGAGGGAACCUCGGGCACCUCCCGGCCGCUGCCCCGGUCGCAGAGGGGCUCCCGGAGGGCUGGGGCUGAGCCGCGAUCGCUGCGAGCGGUGAAUGAGCCAGGCACUGUUUGUGAAGAUUUUUACCUUUACACAGAGAAAAGAUUUGGAGAGAGGGGCUAAUGGCUGAACCCGGUGCUCAUCAUCUGCUACAUGAAGAGCUAGAGAGCAGACUGCUCAGAAAAAAUGGACCUUGUUCAACUCGGAUUAUUUAUUACAACUUUAGACUUCCUAAACUGAACAUUAUCCUAAGAAGUAAUUUCAUUAAGCACAUUGUCAAUUAUCAAAAUUCUCUGUAUCAAGUAUUCGCUUUAUAGAAGAAUAGUUAUCUAUUUCUGUACACUGUGAAUCUGUUCAUCAAUCAAAAUGGAGUGCCUCAGCAUUUCAAUCACACUCCUAAUUUUUAAAGUCAUCUUUUUCUGUAUUGUCUUAUUGUCCUGCAGCCAUAUUUAGGCUAUGCGUGUCAGUGCAAGACACAAUGCAGUCGGUACAAGCCAUCUGAAAAGCGGGUGCUUACGCAGCAGUUUCUCCAGCACACUUCUGGUGGCAUGUUGUAUUGAUCAGAAGGCUCUGCGGUGAAUACACUCGUGCUGUAUAUCAAGAAUCCAUUUAUAUAUUGCAUGCACAAUCAAAACGUGUGUGUGUGUGUUAAAGGAUGCAGCGUGUGACUCUUAUUUUGAAAUGCUCAGUGUGCACGCAGUGGACAACCCAAGAUUUUACAAUAAAUAAAAACAUAUUCUA